GCUUGUCUCAAAGAUUAAGCCAUGCAUGUCUAAGUAUAAGCAAUUUGUACUGUGAAACUGCGAAUGGCUCAUUAAAUCAGUUAUAGUUUAUUUGAUCUUACCUUACUACUUGGAUAACCGUGGUAAUUCUAGAGCUAAUACAUGCAAAAAUGGGCGACUUCUGGAAGCUCAGUAUUUAUUAGAUAAAGCCAACGCUGGGUAAAACCAGUUUCCCUUGGUGAUUCAUAAUAAUUAAGCGGAUCGCAUGGCCUUGUGCUAGCGACAGUCCACUCGAUUUUCUGCCCUAUCAUGGUUGAGAUUGUAAGAUAGAGGCUUACAAUGCCUACAACGGGUAACGGGGAAUUAGGGUUCGAUUCCGGAGAGGGAGCCUGAGAAACGGCUACCACAUCCAAGGAAGGCAGCAGG
rnacentral:rRNA from 1 species